rnacentral:piRNA from 1 species
UGGUGACUGGUGAGAUGUGAAAGGAGCCACU